GCCAUGUGGCUCAGUGGCAGAGCAUCAGCUUUGCAUGCAAAAGGUCCCAGGUUCAAUCCCUGGCCUCUCCA